GACGAACGCUGGCGGCGUGCUUAACACAUGCAAGUCGAACGGUAAGGCCCCAGCUUGCUGGGGUACACGAGUGGCGAACGGGUGAGUAACACGUGGGUGACCUGCCCCGCACUUCGGGAUAAGCCUGGGAAACUGGGUCUAAUACCGGAUAGGACCGCACCGUGAGGGUGUGGUGGAAAGUUUUUCGGUGUGGGAUGGGCCCGCGGCCUAUCAGCUUGUUGGUGGGGUAAUGGCCUACCAAGGCGGCGACGGGUAGCCGGCCUGAGAGGGUGGACGGCCACAUUGGGACUGAGACACGGCCCAGACUCCUACGGGAGGCAGCAGUGGGGAAUAUUGCACAAUGGGCGGAAGCCUGAUGCAGCGACGCCGCGUGGGGGAUGACGGCCUUCGGGUUGUAAACUCCUUUCACCAUCGACGAAGGUUUUCUGACGGUAGAUGGAGAAGAAGCACCGGCUGACUACGUG
rnacentral:rRNA from 1 species